AGAACAUUCACAGAGGCUGUGAUUGGCAGACAUGGCCAAGAAUUUUUGACGAGUAGUGGCCAAGGACAACUCAAUUCUAUUAUUCAGCCAAUGUGAAUUAACUGACAAGAAGCAAAUGGGACUAGUUAAAUGUAAGAGUCUGAAGAAUGCUCAACCCUAAGAAAACAGGAAAUUCUGACAUUUGGAAAACAUUCUCUUAGUUUUAUUGUUAAGACUGCAUGGAAUCCGUCCAUUUUCAGAUUAUAUUCUGGGAAAUUCUGCCUUCAGGCUGCCAACCUUAGGUUCCUAUCCUUAUUACCCAAUAGCUUACGGAGGUCAACUAGCACCAGUGAGCUGCUGUGAGGGAAACUUCUUUAUUGGAAAUAAUAUGUAAAAUUAGUGCCCACUACAUAAUCACUUAAGAACCUGGAGAGUGGCACUGCCAUUGUGUUGUUGAAGGAGCUGACAUCUGAAGAGCGUGAAGUGUCUCUGCAAGUACAACAUGGCACUUCCUGGCACCGCUUGCCACGGUCUAUAGUUUCCUCACAUCUGUGGACUUAGAAAUAAACUUUACCCUCUGGG
rnacentral:lncRNA from 1 species